UGCCCAUUCGUCUAGUGGUAGGACAUCAGACUCUGAAUCUGAGAACCCAGGUUCGAAUCCUGGAUGGGCAGCCA
rnacentral:tRNA from 2 species